rnacentral:rRNA from 1 species
AACGAACGCUGGCGGCAUGCCUAACACAUGCAAGUCGAACGAGACCUUCGGGUCUAGUGGCGCACGGGUGCGUAACGCGUGGGAACCUGCCCUUAGGUUCGGAAUAACUCCCCGAAAGGGGUGCUAAUACCGGAUCAUGUAUUCGGAACAAAGAUUUAUCGCCUUUGGAUGGGCCUGCGUUGGAUUAGCUAGUUGGUAGGGUAAAAGCCUACCACGGGGACGUUGGAUAGCUGGUUUGAGAGGCUGAUCUGCGACACUGGGACUGGGACACGGCCCAGACUCCUACGGGAGGCAGCAGUGGGGAAUAUUGGACAGUGGGCUAUAGCCUGAUCCAGCACGGCCGCGUGAGUGAUGAAGGCCGUAGGGUUGUAAAGCUCGUUUACCCGGGAUGAUAAUGACAGUACCGGGAGAAUAAGCACCGGCUAACUCCGUG